UAGGGAAUAUUGCGCAAUGGGCGAAAGCCUGACGCAGCGAUGCCGCGUGAGUGAGGAAGGCCUUCGGGUUGUAAAGCUCUUUCGUAAGGGAAAAAUGGAUUAUAUGUGAAUAAUAUAUAGUUUUGAUGGUACCUUAAAAGAAAGCACCGGCUAACUUCGAGCCAGCAGCCGCGGUAAUACAAAGGGUGCAAGCGUUGUUCGGAUUUAUUGGGCGUAAAGGGCGCGUAGGCGGGUAUGCAAGUCAGAUGUGAAAUCUCGGAGCUCAACUCCGAAACUGCGUCUGAAACUGCUUAUCUAGAAUAUCAUAGAGGGUAAGGGAAUUUCGCAUGUAGGAGUAAUAUCCGUAGAGAUGCGAAGGAACACCGGAGGCGAAGGCGCUUACCUGGAUGAUGAUUGACGCUGAGGCGCGAAAGCGUGGGGAGCAAACAGG
rnacentral:rRNA from 1 species